CUACGGGUGGCACCAGUGGGGAAUAUUGGACAAUGGGGGAAACCCUGAUCCAGCAAUGCCGCGUGUGUGAAGAAGGCCUGCGGGUUGUAAAGCACUUUCGGUUGGGAGGACUGCUUCUAGCACUAAUAUUGUUGGAAGUUGACGUUACCUUCAGAAGAAGCACCGGCUACCUCCGUGCCAGCAGCCGCGGUAAUACGGAGGGUGCAAGCGUUAAUCGGAAUUACUGGGCGUAAAGCGCGCGUAGGCGGCUAGAUCAGUCGGGUGUGAAAGCCCCGGGCUUAACCUGGGAACUGCAUCCGAUACUGUCUAGCUUGAGUACAGGAGAGGAGAGUGGAAUUCCACAUGUAGCGGUGAAAUGCGUAGAUAUGUGGAGGAACACCAAUGGCGAAGGCAGCUCUCUGGCCUGAUACUGACGCUGAAGUGCGAAAGCGUGGGGAGCAAACAGGAUUAGAUACCCCGGUAGUC
rnacentral:rRNA from 1 species